GGUCUCUAGCGCUUGCCACAGGCUGUCAGCUGACUGCAUAGACAAAGGAGACAGAGCACAUCUACCACACAUUUCUUAGCCUAGGUCACUGUGGAUAGUCUGUAUCAUGAAACUCUGGAAAGACAA